rnacentral:lncRNA from 1 species
AAAUAGAGACCAACGUGGCCGGGCAGGAAGAGCAGGGUCCCGCCUUCAGGUGUUUGGGACUCUGCUGAGGGUGUGGGUGCCCCGCGGUGGGGGCUGAACCUUCCUGGGGUGUGGAGAGACGAAAGGAGCCCAGAUCCAAGUUCCCUCGUUCCCGCUUUGGCAUAAGUUGCCCUGGCGGUCUCAUGAGAGAGAGAAAGAGCUGGGACCCUCCUCGCCCCAGUGAGUGUGAUGUCUUGCUCCGGGUGUCCUGGGGCAACUUUCUAUAAAGGCGGGACGUGGGAGGAUCAGACAGACAAGGGUGUUGACUCUGCAGCACAGAACCAGUAGUUUGUGGAGAAGAAUGGAGGUGUGGUGUUGAAUCUGCUAGACAGGCUACUGAAGCAAAAGUCAAGAGAUCCAGAUUCCAUCAUGGGGACACUUUAG